rnacentral:rRNA from 1 species
GACGAACGCUGGCGGCGUGCUUAACACAUGCAAGUCGAACGAUGAUCCAGAGCUUGCUCUGGUGAUUAGUGGCGAACGGGUGAGUAACACGUGAGCAAUCUGCCCUUGACUCUGGGAUAAGCGUUGGAAACGACGUCUAAUACCGGAUACGACCCUCGGAGGCAUCUCCUGGUGGUGGAAAGAAUUUGGUCAAGGAUGAGCUCGCGGCCUAUCAGCUAGUUGGUGAGGUAAUAGCUCACCAAGGCGACGACGGGUAGGCCGGCCUGAGAGGGUGACCGGCCACACUGGGACUGAGACACGGCCCAGACUCCUACGGGAGGCAGCAGUGGGGAAGUAUUGCACAAUGGACGAAAGCCUGAUGCAGCAACGCCGCGUGAGGGACGACGGCC